UGAGGGAAAGGCGAAAAGAACCCCUGUGAGGGGAGUGAAAUAGAACCUGAAACCGUAUACGUACAAGCAGUGGGAGCAGACUUGUUCUGUGACUGCGUACCUUUUGUAUAAUGGGUCAGCGACUUACAUUCAGUGGCAAGCUUAACCGAGUAGGGGAGGCGUAGGGAAACCGAGUCUUAAUAGGGCGUUUUAGUCGCUGGGUGUAGACCCGAAACCGAGUGAUCUAUCCAUGGGCAGGUUGAAGGUUGAGUAACAUCAACUGGAGGACCGAACCCACUGUCGUUGAAAAGCCAGGGGAUGACCUGUGGAUAGGAGUGAAAGGCUAAUCAAACUCGGAGAUAGCUGGUUCUCCUCGAAAGCUAUUUAGGUAGCGCCUCGUGUAUGACCACCGGGGGUAGAGCACUGUUUCGGCUAGGGGCCCAUCCCGGGUUACCAAACCGAUGCAAACUCCGAAUACCGGUGAGUAUGAGCACGGGAGACACACGGCGGGUGCUAACGUCCGUCGUGAAAAGGGAAACAACCCAGACCGCCAGCUAAGGUCCCAAAGUUCUAGUUAAGUGGGAAACGAUGUGGGAAGGCUAAGACAGCUAGGAGGUUGGCUUAGAAGCAGCCAUCCUUUAAAGAAAGCGUAAUAGCUCACUAGUCGAGUCGGCCUGCGCGGAAGAUAUAACGGGGCUCAAACUAGACACCGAAGCUGCGGAAUGUAGAUUUAUCUACAUUGGUAGAGGAGCGUUCUGUAAGCCGUUGAAGGUGGAUUGAGAAGUCUGCUGGAGGUAUCAGAAGUGCGAAUGCUGACAUAAGUAACGAUAAUGCGAGUGAAAAACUCGCACGCCGGAAGACCAAGGGUUCCUGUCCAACGUUAAUCGGGGCAGGGUGAGUCGACCCCUAAGGCGAGGCUGAAGAGCGUAGUCGAUGGGAAACGGGUUAAUAUUCCCGUACUUGCACUAACUGCGAUGGAGAGACGGAGAAGGCUAGGCCAUCCGGGCGUUGGUUGUCCCGGUUCAAGGGUGUAGGCUGAAAACUUAGGUAAAUCCGGGUUUUCGUUAAGGCUGAGACCUGAUGAGGGUGACUCUACGGAGUCCGAAGUGGUUGAUGCCAUGCUUCCAGGAAAAUCUUCUAAGCUUCAGGUUAGUGUGAAUCGUACCCCAAACCGACACAGGUGGUCGGGUAGAGAAUACCAAGGCGCUUGAGAGAACUCGGGUGAAGGAACUAGGCAAAAUGGUGCCGUAACUUCGGGAGAAGGCACGCUGUUGUUGGUGAUCGGACUUGCUCCGUAAGCUGACGACAGUCGAAGAUACCAGUUAGCUGCGACUGUUUAUUAAAAACACAGCACUCUGCAAACUCGAAAGAGGACGUAUAGGGUGUGACACCUGCCCGGUGCCGGAAGGUUAAUUGAUGGGGUUAGCGCAAGCGAAGCUCUUGAUCGAAGCCCCGGUAAACGGCGGCCGUAACUAUAACGGUCCUAAGGUAGCGAAAUUCCUUGUCGGGUAAGUUCCGACCUGCACGAAUGGUGUAACGAUGGCUAAGCUGUCUCCACCCGAGACUCAGUGAAAUUGAAAUCGCUGUUAAGAUGCAGUGUAUCCGCGGCUAGACGGAAAGACCCCGUGAACCUUUACUACAGCUUCACACUGGACUUUGAUAUUGCUUGUGUAGGAUAGCUGGGAGGCUUUGAAGCGUGGACGCCAGUUCAUGUGGAGCCAACCUUGAAAUACCAGCCUGGCAAUAUUGAGGUUCUAACGCAGGUCCCUUAUCGGGAUCGCGGACCGUGUGUGGUGGGUAGUUUGACUGGGGCGGUCUCCUCCCAAAGAGUAACGGAGGAGCACGAAGGUGGGCUAAGCAUGGUCGGAAAUCAUGCGGUUAGCGUAAAGGUAGAAGCCCGCUUGACUGCGAGACGUACAUGUCGAGCAGGUACGAAAGUAGGUCUUAGUGAUCCGGUGGUUCUGUAUGGAAGGGCCAUCGCUCAACGGAUAAAAGGUACUCCGGGGAUAACAGGCUGAUACCGCCCAAGAGUUCAUAUCGACGGCGGUGUUUGGCACCUCGAUGUCGGCUCAUCACAUCCUGGGGCUGAAGCCGGUCCCAAGGGUAUGGCUGUUCGCCAUUUAAAGUGGUACGCGAGCUGGGUUUAGAACGUCGUGAGACAGUUCGGUCCCUAUCUGCCGUGGGCGUUGGAGAUUUGAGAAGAGCUGCUCCUAGUACGAGAGGACCGGAGUGGACGAACCUCUGGUGUUCGGGUUGUCACGCCAGUGGCAUUGCCCGGUAGCUACGUUCGGACGGGAUAACCGCUGAAAGCAUCUAAGCGGGAAGCCUCCUUCAAGAUGAGUUUUCCCUGUGGCUUUAAGCCACCUGAAGGGCCCUUGAAGACUACAAGGUUGAUAGGCUGGGUGUGUAAGCGUUGUGAGGCGUUGAGCUAACCAGUACUAAUUGCCCGUGAGGCUUGACCAU
rnacentral:rRNA from 1 species